AGCGAACGCUGGCGGCAGGCCUAACACAUGCAAGUCGAACGAACUCUUCGGAGUUAGUGGCGGACGGGUGAGUAACACGUGGGAACGUGCCUUUAGGUUCGGAAUAACUCAGGGAAACUUGUGCUAAUACCGAAUGUGCCCUUCGGGGAAAAGAUUUAUCGCCUUUAGAGCGGCCCGCGUCUGAUUAGCUAGUUGGUGAGGUAAAGGCUCACCAAGGCGACGAUCAGUAGCCGGUCUGAGAGGAUGAUCAGCCACAUUGGGACUGAGACACGGCCCAAACUCCUACGGGAGGCAGCAGUGGGGAAUCUUGCGCAAUGGGCGAAAGCCUGACGCAGCCAUGCCGCGUGAAUGAUGAAGGUCUUAGGAUUGUAAAAUUCUUUCACCGGGGACGAUAAUGACGGUACCCGGAGAAGAAGCCCCGGCUAACUUCGUGCCAGCCGCCGCGGUAA
rnacentral:rRNA from 1 species